UACGUAGGGGGCAAGCGUUGUCCGGAAUCAUUGGGCGUAAAGCGCGUGUAGGCGGCUCGAUAAGUCUGCUGUGAAAGUUCAGGGCUCAACCCUGAAAUGCCGGUGGAAACUGUCGAGCUAGAGUCCGGAAGAGGCGAGUGGAAUUCCUGGUGUAGCGGUGAAAUGCGCAGAUAUCAGGAGGAACACCGGUGGCGAAGGCGGAUCUCUGGGCCUUGCCUGACGCUGAGGCGCGAAAGCUAGGGGAGCGAACAGG
rnacentral:rRNA from 1 species